rnacentral:lncRNA from 1 species
CGUUCGUUUGAUGAGAAAUAAAAAGGAAUAUCGAAAAUUCGAGUGGCUGAAGCUGAAGCAGCUACUUUCGAAGUAACAGAAAGAAAAGCAACGACUGGAGAUGAGAAAUAAAAAGGAAUAUCGAAAAUUCGAGUGGCUGAAGCUGAAGCAGCUACUUUCGAAGUAACAGAAAGAAACGCAUCUCUUUUGAAAUAGGCCUAUUUUUCUCCAAGUUUGACCAGUGAAUCGAACGGGGAUUCAAGUUUUUCAUUUCAUGAAGUAAAAAU